CCGAAACUCAAAACAAUUCUCAUAUCCACUUUGUCAUUCCACACAAAUUGAUCUAGUCCGUUAAAUUAUUUGUAGUCUGAUAAGUAUCAAAAAUUCUAAAAUAUGCCUAUAAAAGGAGGGGUUCUGCCAUUCCUUUGGGGCAAAGGGAGAAAAUUAAGGAAAGAGAAACAAUAGUGUCAAAAUAAGUGAAAAUAGAGCAAAUUAGAGAUCAGACGUUCAGAAUCCUCGGAGUUGAAUUCGCCGUUGAAAAACCCUUGUCGCCGUAGCUCCAGUUUUGCUGCACCAAAAAAGGAGAUGGAGUUUUAAUCGAAACUCCUUUUGACCCAACUAUCGGGUCAAACGCUACUAGGAUCACGAGUUUCGGAGUCGUGCGAGAUAGAAGUUUGAACUCCGAAAUGGAUUCUAGUACUCCAAGCCGUUUCUUUUUUUUAGCUUACUCAUUAUGUUAUGCUUUCUUUUGGGAUGUUAACCAACUCUAUUUUGUCGGUACAUUUGCUUGAGGUAGCUUUAUUUGUUUAUAAUUGCUUUGUUACGUAUCAAA